GUUUCUCAACACAAAAUCGGAGCAGUCACAGUUGCUCCUUCCUAGGUUACCUCUUAAGCAUAAACGGUAAUCUCCCUCCUUCUGUCACCUUCCCCUUUUCAAGCAAAGGUAUUAUUAUACCUUUAAUAAGUUGCAAUGUAUGUGAGGAGAAUAAGAAGCAACAACCAAAGAUGGAAUCUUGUAUUUCAGCGUUUUAACCAUUAUGUUAGUUCUGGAUACAGAACUUACUCCCCUACACAAUCUUCAAUCGUUACACAGAUACCUUUAGACUGCAACUCUCUAGGCUGUGUGAUAGGAAGAGCUUUGUUAGAUACAUCCAAGUCAAUACAUACUGCUUCUCAACGGGGGAAUAUAAGGUUGUUGAGGAGUUCACCUGCUAGUUGGAGGUGGACACAUUUAAGGUAUUUUAGCUCUAAAGGUGAUGGUAGGGAUGCAAGUGAGGAUAAACAUGUACACACGAGAGAUGGUACGAGC
rnacentral:misc_RNA from 1 species